UGUUCGGAAGUACUCCGAUUAUUCCCAGCAGCAAUCUUCAUCACACUAAAAAGUUUAAAAAUGGGUUUAAGAACAGAAGUUCGAAAUCUUAGAUACUUCCAAGAAGGUCUUACGACCUUAAACAGAAUUGACAAGCUUUUACGACAUUUCGUCUUGGACGAGAAUGACAGCCAGGCCGUCGAUGAACUUCUGAAAAAAGCUGCUUCGAUCUUACUCAAAGACAACUGAAGCCCAGUCAAGCGCUUCAAAGCAGUGUUCUCGUUGUCGGGAGACCACCACAAGAAGUUCGAGCGACCACCAGAAACGACACAGGCGAACCAGUAGAAGAUAGAUCUACGUAGAUCGUCAUCUUAGAUUCAGAUGAAUGUUUCCCGCAGCUUUCUGAUGUUUUUUUGUUCUUUGAGUUGUCAGUUGUAUCUGACUUCUCUUCUUCUGUAAUCUUUUUUUAAGUCUUAAUACUAAUAUACAUUUCCAGC